GGUGACCAUAAAGUUUGGAGGGUGGGGGUGUAAUGAACAGGAAAUAGCUGCUGUCUUUGGCUUUAAUUGUUUGUUGUUUACUUGAUGUUUUCAACUCAGCAGAUCACAGAACUAGAAUAUACUGUACAUCGAGUUUCUAGAAGCAUCGGGUUUCCAGAAGCAUCGCGACUUGAGCUGCAAGUGAUAAUACACUAGCUGCUUUGAGAUGGAUUUGAGACUUUCUCCCUCCCUUUUCACCCUUCUCUCCUCUUCCCACCUCUUCCUGAUAAACAGAUUAUUUAGGGAUUCACAAGCAGCCAGUUGAGCCUGCGCUGCUCUUGUGUACUGUGUGCUGCUGCAUUAGGCUUAGAGCCACAAAGCAGACAGAUGGCUGAGGAGAGCCAGGGGGAUCUCAUUACACGGUCUUAAUAAGGCGCUCCAGAGACGAGCAGGUAGAGACCAAGCCUGAGUGACCCACCUUUUCCUGCUUGUACUUCUUACAUCCGUUUGAGGAAAUCUAGAAUGUCUGGAACAAUUUCUGAAUGAUCAUGGAGAAAGAGGAAGAGGAGGAGGAACUUUUCACAGAGUGGCCUGCUGAAGAAAGAGAGCAGGAGAGCACAGAGGAUGAGGAUGAUGAAAAGGAGAUGGAGACCGAGAGGGAAAAAAGCGGGUUGGAUAUCCUCAGGCCAAGUGUUUCACUGGCCAAUCGCAGAGCGUCCCUUCCGUGUCCGACCCAGCUGAGUGCUAUGCAUUUGACUCAUUUGACUCAUCUGACUCACCUGCACAUGACCACCAUGGCUCCAAGCCCAGUCGGCAUGAGGCACAGGCUCAAAGAUGGCGAAGCAAGGAAGCAAGGUCUUCACUCUCAGCACGACCGAAACCAGGAUGAGGACAACGAAUCCAAGCUUGAGAAAUGGCCAUCUGCCAUCCCAAACUUACUUCAUGUCCCAGAAAAGCGGAGACGCUUCAGGAGCCGCAACGUUAUAUCACUAAGUGACGCAGACAGCAUGUGUCUGAUUUGCCAUGAUGAUCUGUGCAGAAGAGGAGGAACCAUCUGGGAACUGCACUGUUCACACAACUUCCACAGUGAGUGUAUACAGGAGUGGUUGUGGAUGAAGCAGACUUGCCCGAUAUGUCAUAAGCGCAUGGCUAUGCCCGAGCCUCUGUACUGGACAUCCGCUCGUGUCAAAGUGCCCUAAUGCUUCACUACCACCUAUCUAAAUCUGUUAGAAUGAAGAAAUUGGACUGUCCAUCCACAGAUCAAUGGAUUUUAAUCUGUUGAAAUAAAUGAUGUGUAAUGGGAUUGCACAAGACUUCAGUAAAUCCUGCAGAUCAACUGUCAACAGCUCCACUACAGACUUCUAAUAAAAGUUGUUAUUUAGUUACUACUGCUAUAAGCCAAACUGACUUGAAUUAAGCUCUAAAACUCUGAGGAGACAUUGGCAGGUCCAGACUCCAGACAUUCCACAAUGUUAUCUAUAUACCCUUCCAAUUAGUUUCAUUGUUUUACUUCAUAAAAUAGUUCAGUGGGUUUAAUCUGAAGCUCAGUACUUUCAAUGAAACUACAAAUUACAUGAAAAGGGUUCUAUUUAGCCACAAAAGUCUUGUAGGAGUUUCAAAAUUAGGACCCACUUCAGGUUAAUACACUUUAUUUUGAUAUCCUGUCUGUCAUCUGUGGGAAGCCAUUUAAACUGAAUGCCAAUAAAAUAUCUGUGUGUAAAAGUCUGUAUGCAGAUUUACCCCAAAGAUUCUGCUGUUUGAAAGUAAAAUCUGAGGGAAAAGCUAUUCCAUAUUAACCUGUGUUGCAUGUUGCUCCAAUCUUUGUGUGUUAAUUAACUUGGCAAAGUUAAAAAAUAAAAAUAAAAAAUUGCCGCAGCAUGAAAACAAUAUUUUGAAUCUACAUUUUAAUCCAGUUUAGGUUUGAGGGGAAAUAUUCAGCAGUUAACAAGCACAUAUGGGCAUGAUGGUUAGGUGUCCUCAUAUUUUUGGUCAUGUUGUGUAAUAUGGGAUUACUAUUGUUUUUCAGGAAUUUAUAUGUACUAAGGCUAUACACAUGGACUAUUU
ensembl:lncRNA